rnacentral:snRNA from 1 species
CAGCUCUUGAGGAGGAGGGGAAAAUACGGAGAGGGGUCUAUGCCCCUCCUCUCCUGCUCUCCCCCAUUUAGGAGAAAAUUUUCCGCUAAAUUUAGCAGAAAAAAGUUCCCGCUAAAUUUAGUGGGAAAUUUUUCCCGCUAAAUUUAGCUGGGGGAUUUUACCC